rnacentral:rRNA from 1 species
AUGAACGCUGGCGGCGUGCCUCAUACCUGCAAGUCGCGCGAACAGACGAGGAGCUUGCUCCUCUGACGUUAGCGGCGGACGGGUGAGUAACACGUGGAUAACCUACCUAUAAGACUGGGAUAACUUCGGGAAACCGGAGCUAAUACCGGAUAAUAUAUUGAACCGCAUGGUUCAAUAGUGAAAGACGGUUUUGCUGUCACUUAUAGAUGGAUCCGCGCCGCAUUAGCUAGUUGGUAAGGUAACGGCUUACCAAGGCGACGAUGCGUAGCCGACCUGAGAGGGUGAUCGGCCACACUGGAACUGAGACACGGUCCGGACUCCUACGGGAGGCAGCAGUAGGGAAUCUUCCGCAAUGGGCGAAAGCCUGACGGAGCAACGCCGCGUGAGUGAUGAAGGUCUUCGGAUCGUAAAACUCUGUUAUUAGGGAAGAACAAAUGUGUAAGUAACUAUGCACGUCUUGACGGUACCUAAUCAGAAAGCCACGGCUAACUACGUG